UACGAAGGGGGCUAGCGUUGCUCGGAAUCACUGGGCGUAAAGGGUGCGUAGGCGGGUUUUUAAGUCAGAGGUGAAAUCCUGGAGCUCAAUCCUCAAGACUGCCCUUUGAUACUGGGAAUCUUGAGUAUGGAAGAGGUGAGUGGAACUGCGAGUGUAGAGGUGAAAUUCGUAGAUAUUCGCAAGAACACCAGUGGCGAAGGGCGGCUCACUGGUCCAUAACUGACGCUGACGGCACGGAAAGCGUGGGGAGCA
rnacentral:rRNA from 1 species